GUAGCGGGAUCCUCCGCCUGAUGGGUGGAAGCUUCACGUCCCAAGGGGCCGGGGCCGCCGUUACCAGCACAAGCCGAUACGAGUUCAGAGGUGACUGAUAUUGGCUACGUUCCGUAAAGGUGGGAAGACCCACCAGGCCGUGCUUCACCAGCGGCCUGCUCUGGA
rnacentral:sRNA from 15 species